CCAGGAAGUGUUGUGAGAUCCUCUUUCCUGGGAAUGGCUAAAAACCUGCCUGCCCGUGGGAAGUGAUUUGUCAGCCAUGGUGAAGAGCUUCAACCCAUCGGAUUCCGAGUCACGCAUGAUAACUUCACUGCAAGGAAACCACAAAGCAGGAAAAGAAUUGAUUUACAGAGAGAAGGAAACAGACCAGGAGGCAGAGUGGAAAGGACAAGAAGAGGACUAUCCCAUGUGUGUCAAAUUGCAUUCAUCAUAGGUCAUGAUUGAACACCAGCUACCCUCUCUCUGGUCCAAACAGGCUGAUAACCUCCCAUUUACAUAGGAUUCAUUACUCAUUUAAUUCAUUUACUGUGUGAAUAAAUUGAAGACUGAAUCCACUGAGUACAUCUUGGCAGAGCAAUAACAUAAGUGUCAAGGAUGUAGCCUUACUCUGUGAGUGGUCAUACCUCUCUGCGUCAAAGCAAGGGAGUCUUAAUUCUAAUGACAAGCAGAGAACCAGAACUGAAUAUGGAGUAAAUUAGCAGUUGUUUGCCUUUCUUGGGGCAUCUUUGCAAGUUAUCAUCUUCUCUUUUCUGUACAGCUGCUGUAACAAAUACAUCUCUGAUCCUGAAAGAGAAUAAAUUAUGCCAGCUACUCACAACAACAAAGCUCUGGACACUGAAACAAGCUCCCCAGGGAAGUGAUCACAGCACCAAGCCUGCCAGAGUUCAAGAAGUACUGGGACAAUACUCUCAGCAAAUAUAGUCCCAGUAACUUCUCUCCCAUGGUGUUUUGACAGAAGAGAAAAAGAGG